rnacentral:rRNA from 1 species
AUGAAACCAUUCAGUUCAACCAAUUUGAGCAGAAUUAUUACAUUAUUCGUAAUGAAGAUCGGUGCGGUCAUGUUUGUUGGGCUGAUUUUUAUCAACUUAUGCACCUGCAUGCCAAGAAAUGUUGCGAACCAUGAAUCUCACAAUACAGCGGUGCCACAGAAGGAAAUGCGCAGUCUGAUGUCUGGCACUGAUGGAAGGAACGGACCUCCGAGCAAUGAUCACCAGUGCCCACUUGGGACCUACCCUAAUUGCCAAGGGAUGUCCCAGAAUACUCAAGAAGCAGCUCAAGAUGUUGGAGGAAACUAA